rnacentral:rRNA from 1 species
GAUGAACGCUGGCGGCGUGCUUAACACAUGCAAGUCGAACGGAAAGGCUCCUGCUUGCAGGGGUACUCGAGUGGCGAACGGGUGAGUAACACGUGGGUGAUCUGCCCUGCACUUCGGGAUAAGCCUGGGAAACUGGGUCUAAUACCGGAUAGGACCACAUUUUGGAUGGUGUGGUGGAAAGUUUUUCGGUGUGGGAUGAGCUCGCGGCCUAUCAGCUUGUUGGUGGGGUAAUGGCCUACCAAGGCGUCGACGGGUAGCCGGCCUGAGAGGGUGUACGGCCACAUUGGGACUGAGAUACGGCCCAGACUCCUACGGGAGGCAGCAGUGGGGAAUAUUGCACAAUGGGCGCAAGCCUGAUGCAGCGACGCCGCGUGGGGGAUGACGGCCCUCGGGUUGUAAACUCCUUUCGCUAGGGACGAAGCGCAAGUGACGGUACCUGGAGAAGAAGCACCGGCUAACUACGUG